UACUGCCAACAGGAGGCUGCAGUCCCUGCCUGGGAUCCUAACCUCCACUCACCAGCUGGUAAAGCAAGCCCUAGAACUCCACCUGGCGUAGGUCCCUAUUCUCAGGAGAUCAAAGAGCCACUGCAGCAAGUAGAGAGCUGCAAGGUAACAUUAUUAGUUACUUGUAAACAGUGUACCAAGAUGCCUUAAGGGAUUGGUUUCCAGGAGAUGUCUGCAUUUUAAUCAUGGCUCCAAAGAUUAACUAGGAAUACGUGUUUGGGUAUGGCAUGGAGAAGAUGAUCCCUCAUGCUCAAUUACGGUUUAAGUAAUUGUGCUCAGCGAACGAAGAAUACAUUGGAAGGCAUUUCUCCUGGACAUCUCACUAGAGAUCAGACACUGUGCGGAGUAUUCACCAUAUAUUCAUGUAACUGGGUAUAUAGUGACCAAUCCUUUCAACCAUUAGGAGGAAAAUGUUACUCCCAGUUUAUACAUGGGAAACUGAGGUCCUGGGGCUGAAUUCUCUCUCUCAUUCCAGAUGUUAAUGAGUCGAGCCCGAUUCUAAAAGCCCAUUAACUUUCCAAUGCCUCUGUCCAUCAUGCCUGGACUUUACCCAUCAGGCUCACGUGGACAGGAGAGGAUCAAUGUCCUAGGUUUGAAGAAUACAGAUAAAAA